UUUAUAUGACGUCGUUGACUUGUAGGUUCACGUUUGACCAUUCGUCUUAUUCAAAAAAAAUUAUAUAAUUAUUAAUUAUUUUGUUAAAAUAUGAUUUAUUAUUAUAGAAACUUUAAUUAUACAUUAUAAUUUUGUAUAUUUGGAUAUAAAUUUUGAAUAAGACGAAUGGUCAAACGUGAACCUACAAGUCAACGACGUCAUAUAAA
rfam:Oryza brachyantha chromosome 5, whole genome shotgun sequence.